CCGAUUUACCCUCUGGUGUGGAAAGAAUGGCUGUAACUUAAAUUACUGAGUUUUCUUUUACUCACCUUAGGACUAUAAAUCCAUCCUACUUCAGCUAAAAGUGGUUUAGUGAAAUCCUACUCCUUUUGUCAUGUGGAAGCUUGCAGCUGUGUUAACGAAUUGUUCUUAGUAUUUCCUUUUGAACAUUUUCCUCUCUCAAGGAAAAUGUUUGAGAAGGUGGCUAGAGGGGAAUAAAACUUACCAGCAGGCCCAAGUGUGCCCGUGACAGGAACUCUUCUCCGCCACUUGAGUUGAAC
rnacentral:lncRNA from 1 species